CUUCCUCCUCCGCCCGACGACCACGAGCCCCGACCUCCAGCCCUCGACCCGUUGCCUUUCUCUUCUCCUCCAUCUCAGCCCUGAACUGCCUUUCUCCUCAUUUCUGUGCCUGUCCCCGUUGUCUUUCUCUCCUUCUCCUCCUUCUCGCCCCCGUGUUGCCUUUCUCCUCCGUCUCUGCCCCCGUCUUCACCGUCAAGCUGCCCCAGCCCUUCACCGUCAAGCUGCCCUAGCCCUUUUCGGCCCCCAUGCUGCCUUUCGUCGAACAGAAAUAGAAAGAGGAGAGCAUUUGCAGCGGCCCCUGAGCAUCGUCGUCACACCUCCUCUUCUCAACGUCGCAGACUCAUCUGCUCUGCCUUAGCAAUCGUCCUCCUCUAGUCGACGUCUCAGAGUCCUCUGCUCCACCCUAGGAACCGUCGCCGCACCUCCUUUGCUCCCCCUGAGGAAGCUGCCCCUCGCCAUGCCCGUUCCACAGAUGAGUAGCCACCAUGACAAACUACAGUGGGAUGAAGAGCAAGUGCAGUUUUUAUUUGACAUGAUGUUAGAGCAAGCUAAGAUUCCAGGAAUGCGGACAUCAGGUGGACUAAAAGAAACAACUAUGAAGGUGGUUGAACAAAAAAUGAUGGAAGCAUUUGGAACAAUCAACCCUUCUAUGAUGAAAAAAAACAUGGAUAUGUGUUUUUAUGUCUCCAAUUGAAACAGUCAACCCUUCUACGAAUUGUCAGAACUGUAAAAUACUAUGUUCUUUAUUUUUUCUUUUGAAUGCAGUCCGUAUGGAAUCUUAGUGAAAAUUUGGUGAUAAACCAACAAAA